GACGAACGCUGGCGGCGUGCUUAACACAUGCAAGUCGAACGAUGAAGCUGGAGCUUGCUCUGGCGGAUUAGUGGCGAACGGGUGAGUAACACGUGAGAAAUCUGCCCUUGACUCUGGGAUAACUGCGGGAAACUGUAGCUAAUACCGGAUACUUUCCCUGGUGGGCAUCCACUGGGGAAGAAAGAAUUUCGGUCAAGGAUGAUCUCGCGGCCUAUCAGCUUGUUGGUGAGGUAAUGGCUCACCAAGGCGACGACGGGUAGCCGGCCUGAGAGGGUGACGGGCCACACUGGGACUGAGACACGGCCCAGACUCGUACGGGAGGCAGCAGUGGGGAAUAUUGCACAAUGGGCGCAAGCCUGAUGCAGCAACGCCGCGUGAGGGAUGAAGGCCUUCGGGUUGUAAACCUCUUUUAGCAGGGAAGAAGCGAAAGUGACGGUACCUGCAGAAAAAGCACCGGCUAACUACGUGCCAGCAGCCGCCGUAA
rnacentral:rRNA from 1 species